CUUGCAGUAAGACAACAUGCAUAAAGAGGAUGAUGUGGUCAAAAUACUCAUUUGCCUAAUAAUUCUGCACUCCCUGUAUGGUUGUAUUUAUAUUUUAAUUUUGAUGUUUGAUUAUUAAAUAAAUUAUAUAUUCUGCUCAACUAAAUAUAUAUUUUUUUUAUUAUAUUGGUAAUUCUGUGUAUAACUAGAUUAUAAAUUGUAGGCUAUCUGCCAGAUGUCCAAAAAGAAGGCUGUAAUAUUUAAAGGAACACUUCACACACACUCUUAAUUCCACAGGUCACUGCUGGCACCAUAACCACUUAUAGUGCUUGGAGUGUUCCUAUAAAUAUUAUGAAAACACAUGUAAAAUGAUACAUUUUCCCUUCACCCAGUACAAAAUAAAACAUAUAUGAAAUAAAAGCAUAUGCUUCAUAUGGCCCUCAGUGGGCAACCUACUACAAUCAGUGCCAUGUUACUCAAGUGUCUCCUCAUUAUCAUCUCUAAUUAACAGUCCUACCAGUACAGGCCUCUCACGGGUCAAGUUGGUUAUAUACAUGUUAUGAUAUGGAGCAGAUCUGCCAUAUUGCCUCACUAUGUGUAAAAUUUCAACUGUUCUACAGCUCAACAACCGUUAACCAACCCACAUCAUAUCACUUCAUACACGCGCUAAUUCUCAUACUGCCAUGCUACUCAUGAAUCGCUAUAAGCUCUCUUGGCCUUCUACUUCUAUACCUUGACACACAGAUCUCACUAGGCCUUCACUUACAUUAGCUUCAUACGGUCCCAGGUGGGCUUACAGCUACAACCUAGAUUAUCACAGAGGUGAUUAAACCUUCUGCUCGUGUCAUGGGCCUGACAUCUGUAGCCAGAAACCAAAAAAGCUCUCCCUCAGGACAGGAAGUAUUCUUGUAAGCCCAUAUACAAGAACUUCCAAUACAUGGACCGCAGGGGGUAUCAAGAAAAACACAUUUUUUUUUGUCAACGAAAGAUCCUAAGUUUGACACAAACAAAGACUUCAAGACUGACAGAGCAAAAAGAUUCUAACGCCAUGCGAGUAGGCGGACAGAUACAACAUUUUGCUCACAGUUUGUGUAGGUGAUGCAGUGUGUGUUUGUGUAUAAGGGAUGCAUUGUGUGUUUCUGGUUGUGUGUAAAGGAUGCAUUGUGUGAAUCUGUGUUUGUAUGCAUAAGGGAUGCAAGAAAUGCAUUGUGUUUCUGUGUAUAUGUAAGAGAAGCAGUGUGUGUGUUUGCAUGUGUGUGUAAGGGUUUGCAUUGUGUGUUUCUGUGUAUGUGUGCAAAGGAUGCAUUGUGUGUUUCUCUGUGUGUAAGGGAAGCAUGUUGUGUUUCUGUGUGUGUAGGGGGAUGCAUUGUGUGUGUGUGUGCACGUAGUGUGAAAGAGCUCCCUGUCCUAUAGAGCUCUCCCUUCUGUCCCUUAGAGCUCGCCCCUGCCCCCUAGUGGUCUCUCCUCUCCCCCCCUCCCCUAGCGGUCUCUUCUCACA